GUGACAAACAGCGAUUCUUUUUUCAUUGUAGUUCUCUUAAGUCUCAUUUUUACGUACCUGCAUAUGAAAGAACACACUGGCGACCAGUUCAGGGUGUACACCGACUCUGGCCCAAAGAUAGCUGGGGUAGGCUCCAGCACUCCCACAACCCUUGUGAGGGUAACCACAGUAGAAAAUGGAUGGAUGGCUAUUUUAAUUACUAGCAAAAGAGAAAGAGAUGGAGGGUGAAGUGCUCCAGGAAUCAGGGCUGCCUCUAUGAGAUAUGACACAGCUUGAUUUUGAUCA